CCAAAUAGGACGAAACGCGCGUCCUGGAU
rnacentral:hammerhead_ribozyme from 1 species